rnacentral:ncRNA from 2 species
UACGUAGGGCGCAAGCGUUGUCCGGAAUUAUUGGGCGUAAAGAGCUCGUAGGUGGUUUGCUACGUCUGCUGUGAAAACCUAGGGCUUAACCCUGGGCCUGCAGUGGAUACGGGCAGACUAGAGGUAGGUAGGGGAGAAUGGAAUUCCCGGUGUAGCGGUGAAAUGCGCAGAUAUCGGGAGGAACACCGGUGGCGAAGGCGGUUCUCUGGGCCUUACCUGACACUGAGGAGCGAAAGCGUGGGGAGCGAACAGG